rnacentral:rRNA from 1 species
CUACGGGAGGCAGCAGUAAGGAAUAUUGGUCAAUGGACGAAAGUCUGAACCAGCCAUGCCGCGUGAAGGAUGACGGCCCUCUGGGUUGUAAACUUCUUUUAUCUGGGACGAAAAAAGGGAAUUCUUUCUCACUUGACGGUACCAGAGGAAUAAGCACCGGCUAACUCCGUGCCAGCAGCCGCGGUAAUACGGAGGGUGCAAGCGUUAUCCGGAUUCACUGGGUUUAAAGGGAGCGUAGGUGGGCAGGUAAGUCAGUGGUGAAAUCUCCGGGCUUAACCCGGAAACUGCCAUUGAUACUAUUUGUCUUGAAUUAUCUGGAGGUAAGCGGAAUAUGUCCUGUAGCGGUGAAAUGCUUAGAUAUGACAUAGAACACCGAUUGCGAAGGCAGCUUACUACGGAUAUAUUGACACUGAGGCUCGAAAGCGUGGGGAUCAAACAGGAUUAGAAACCCCUGUAGUCC